GCCCCGUACACAAAAAUGCACAUGCUGUGAGCUCGAUGAGUAGGGCGGGACACGUGGUAUCCUGUCUGAAUAUGGGGGGCCCACCCUCCAAGGCUAAAUACUCUGGAUGAACCGAUAGUAACCCAGUACCGUGAGGGAAAGGUGAAAAGAACCCCGGGAGGGGAGUGAAAUAGAACCUGAAACCCUGCACUUACAAGCUGUGGAAGCACAUUUCUUGUGUGACCGCGUACUUUUUGUAGAACGGGCCAACGAGUUACGUUAAGUAGCAAGGUUAAGCACUUAAGGUGCGGAGCCGUAGCGAAAGCGAGUUUUAACUGAGCGUUCAGUUACUUGACGUAGACCCGAAACCGGGCGACCUACCCAUGAGCAGGAUGAAGCGAAAGUAAAAUUUCGUGGAGGUCCGAACCCACGAGCGUUGAAAAGCUCGGGGAUGACUUGUGGGUAGCGGUGAAAUUCCAAUCGAGCCCGGAGAUAGCUGGUUCUCCCCGAAAUAGCUUUAGGGCUAGCCUCAAGGUGAGAGAUACGGAGGUAGAGCACUGAAUGUCCUAGGGGGUAUUGCACCUACCGAAGACUAUCAAACUCCGAAUGCCGUCAUCUUAUACUUGGGAGUCAGACUGUGGGUGAUAAGAUUCAUAGUCGAAAGGGCAACAGCCCAGAUCGUCAGCUAAGGUCCCUAAAUGUAAGUUAAGUGGUAAAGGAUGUGGGAUUGCACAGACAACCAGGAUGUUGGCUUAGAAGCAGCCACUCAUUCAAAGAGUGCGUAAUAGCUCACUGGUCGAGUGAUCCUGCGCCGAAGAUUUCCGGGGCUAAAACUUACUACCGAAGCUACGGCAUCAGUAAUGAUGGGUAGGGGAGCUUCCCAUACGGGUUGAAGCAUGACCGUAAGGACAUGUGGACAGUAUGGGAGUGAGAAUGUUGGCAUGAGUAGCGAGAUGUGGGUGGGAAUCCCACAGGCCGUAAACCCAAGGUUUCCAGGGGAAGGUUCGUCCGCCCUGGGUUAGUCGGGACCUAAGCUGAGGCCGAAAGGCGUAGGUGAUGGACAACAGGUUGAUAUUCCUGUACUACCGAUAACCGUUUGAGAGAAGGGAUGACACAGUAGGAUAAGCUAAGCACACUGUUGGUUAUGUGUGCCCAAGCAUUGAGGCAGUCAAAGUAGGCAAAUCCGCUUUGAUAAUGCUGGGAUGUGAUGGGGAGCGAAAUUUAGUAGCGAAGUAGCUGAUUUCACACUGUCAAGAAAAGUCUCUAUCGAGGUUAAAGGUACCCGUACCGCAAACCGACACAGGUGGGUGAGGAGAGUAUCCUAAGGCCAGCGAGAGAACUGUUGUUAAGGAACUCGGCAAAAUGACCCCGUAACUUAGGGAUAAGGGGUGCCACCAUCAGGUGGCCGCAGAGAAUAGGCCCAAGCGACUGUUUACCAAAAACAUAGGUUUCUGCUAAGUCGCAAGACGAUGUAUAGGAGCUGACGCCUGCCCGGUGCUGGAAGGUUAAGGGGAUCUGUUAGAGCAAUCGAAGCAGUGAACUUAAGCCCCAGUAAACGGCGGCCGUAACUAUAACGGUCCUAAGGUAGCGAAAUUCCUUGUCGGGUAAGUUCCGACCCGCACGAAAGGCGUAACGAUUUGGGCACUGUCUCAACAACAGACUCGGUGAAAUUGUAAUUCCGGUGAAGAUGCCGGAUACCUGCGACAGGACGGAAAGACCCCAUGGAGCUUUACUGUAGCUUGACAUUGGGUCUUGGUACUACAUGUACAGGAUAGGUGGGAGGCUUUGAAACCAGGACGCCAGUUUUGGCGGAGCCAUCCUUGGGAUACCACCCUUGUAGUACUGGGACUCUAACCAUAGGCCAUGAAUCUGGUCUUGGGACACUGUCAGGUGGGCAGUUUGACUGGGGCGGUCGCCUCCCAAAAGGUAACGGAGGCGCUCAAAGGUUCUCUCAGUACGGUCGGAAAUCGUACGUAGAGUGUAAAGGCAAAAGAGAGCUUGAUUGCAAGACAUACAGGUCGAGCAAGGAUGAAAAUCGGACUUAGUGAUCCGGUGGUUCUGCGUGGAAGGGCCAUCGCUCAACGGAUAAAAGCUACCCUGGGGAUAACAGGCUUAUCUCCCCCAAGAGUCCACAUCGACGGGGAGGUUUGGCACCUCGAUGUCGGCUCAUCACAUCCUGGGGCUGUAGUAGGUCCCAAGGGUUGGGCUGUUCGCCCAUUAAAGUGGUACGCGAGCUGGGUUCAGAACGUCGUGAGACAGUUCGGUCCCUAUCCGUCGCAGGCGUAGGAAAUUUGAGAAGACCUGUCCUUAGUACGAGAGGACCGGGAUGGACGUACCUCUGGUGUACCAGUUGUCCUGCCAAGGGCAUGGCUGGGUAGCUAUGUACGGAAUGGAUAAGCGCUGAAAGCAUCUAAGCGCGAAGCCAACUUCAAGAUAAGAUUUCCCACCGCAAGGGUAAGACCCCAGAAAGACUAUCUGGUUGAUAGGUCGAAGGUGUAAGUGCAGCAAUGUAUUUAGCUUAUCGAUACUAAUAGGUCGAGGACUUGACCAAU
rnacentral:rRNA from 1 species